GUAUUAUGAUGAAAUCCAUGCGUGUCAGCUGACUCUGUGAACCCCUGAUGUUGUGAUUCUCUGGUUGGCGUUCUGUUGACCCGAGUUGUCUCUACAUUAGGGAGCCAGAGACAUGAUCAUACUUUCAUGGUUCUGAUUAC